CUUCCCGCGCUGGGAGCCUCACUUGUGUCAGCGGAACAGCAUGGAAACAACAUGAUUUAAGCCCCUCCGCUCCCUCCUUUCGAGAAGAGCUGGACCUGGAAGGCACUGUUAACCAACGCUGACUUCCAUCUCUGAAGGGGAGACACCUGCAUCCGAGGCUUCAUCCAGAUCUUUAUCACGUGGAACAAGGAUUAUCAAACAGUGAGGUCUUGGAUGCAAAGCUUACUUUUCAAGUGGAUUCAAGAAAGAGGGGUGUGACCAUUAGGUUCUAUGUGUCUUGUGUUAGUCAAGUAAAGAUGACGUCAGUAAUCAAAUUACAGAAUCUAAUCAAGUAGGUAUUUUUGCUUUAUUACAAAAUGUAUGCAUCAUUUUGGGGCAUUGAAUUGCUUAUUUGUUUUGCUGUUGAAUUCUUCUCUUUUUAGAUACAGGGAUAUUUAGCGUUACUUCUAAAGCCACUUGC
rnacentral:lncRNA from 1 species